GACGAACGCUGGCGGCGUGCUUAGCACAUGCAAGUCGAACGGUAAGGCCCUUCGGGGUACACGAGUGGCGAACGGGUGAGUAACACGUGGGUGAUCUGCCCUGCACUUCGGGAUAAGCCUGGGAAACUGGGUCUAAUACCGGAUAGGACCCUGGGAUGCAUGUCCUGGGGUGGAAAGCUUUUGCGGUGUGGGAUGGGCCCGCGGCCUAUCAGCUUGUUGGUGGGGUGAUGGCCUACCAAGGCGACGACGGGUAGCCGGCCUGAGAGGGUGACCGGCCACACUGGGACUGAGGUACGGCCCAGACUCCUACGGGAGGCAGCAGUGGGGAAUAUUGCACAAUGGGCGCAAGCCUGAUGCAGCGACGCCGCGUGAGGGAUGACGGCCUUCGGGUUGUAAACCUCUUUCAGCACCGACGAAGCGCAAGUGACGGUAGGUGCAGAAGAAGGACCGGCCAACUACGUGCCAGCAGCCGCAGUAA
rnacentral:rRNA from 1 species